GUAUUGAUUGCGUGUGAUCGCAAAAAGUAAGACAUUCUACACAUGCAUUAAAAAAGGUGUCUGUGUAAAAACGUGAACCCCUCCCAAUAUGGGGGGAGGCCCACGUGGUGAUGCACAAAGGGGUGAGAUGGACGUGAGAGAGAGCACUUUGGGCGUGCACGACCCGUGAAGGUCAGCGACAGCCCUGGGCACCUCCGUUGUACGAUAAUGAUCCUUCCGCAGGUUCACCUACGGAAA
rnacentral:misc_RNA from 1 species